GCAAGGUAAAUAAACCGCACGCCAAGGUAAAUAAAGCGCACGCCGCAGUAGAUCCCGAAUAUCUUCGUGGAAAAUGGUAAAUUAUUGCCGUGUUUUUGGCUGUACCAAUCGCUCAGACCGCGAAAAACAUUUGGAGUAUUACAGACUGCCAAAAGUUAUAACUAAUCAAGGAGAACAAUGCCAUAAGUUGUCAGAGGAAAGGAGGCGCUUGUGGUUAACGAAGCUGAACCAGGAUCUACGUGGCAAAAAUCUGGACAACGUCCGAAUUUGUUCGGCCCAUUUCUUGUCAGGUAAAAGGUCUGACCUUUAUCAAAAGGAUGACCCAGAUUGGGUGCCAUCUGUCGGAAUGACAGGUCAGCAAAGGUCUCCUGAAAAAGCUGGGACAUCAUCACGCUACAGCCGUCGUGGGAAUAGAACCCAGCAGAGACUGAGAGAAGCUGCUGCUGAUGCUGCUGCUGGUGCUGGAGUUGCUGCAGAGACUGAUGAUUCUGAGAUUGAUGACCCAGCUUUGUUCACCUGUCUGUUGUGCUCUGGUGAACCUUUGCCCAUCCAUUGUUGAUUUUGACUGAAGCAUAUUUUUAUAUGCACUUUGUCAAUAAAAAGACUAUAUAGCC